GGGGAAUCUUCCGCAAUGGGCGCAAGCCUGACGGAGCAACGCCGCGUGAGGGAGGAAUGUCUGUGGAUUGUAAGCCUCUUUUCUCUGGGAAGAAGUACUGACGGUACCAGAGGAAUCAGCAUCGGCUAACUCCGUGCCAGCAGCCGCGGUAAGACGGAGGAUGCAAGCGUUAUCCGGAAUUAUUGGGCGUAAAGCGUCCGCAGGUGGCGCCUCAAGUCUGCUGUCAAAGGUCGGGGCUUAACUCCGGAAAGGCAGUGGAAACUGAAGCGCUAGAGUGCGGUAGGGGUAGAGGGAAUUCCCGGUGUAGCGGUGAAAUGCGUAGAGAUCGGGAAGAACAUCGGUGGCGAAAGCGCUCUACUGGGCCGCAACUGACACUCAGGGACGAAAGCUAGGGGAGCGAAAGGGAUUAGAUACCCCAGUAGUC
rnacentral:rRNA from 1 species